GUGGUCUUAAGGAAAGCUAAGACACAAACUUGUAUUUGAGCACUGCUUCUAUGUACACAGACCAUGAUUUUGUGAGUUACUUGAAUUUUUUGAGGUUCCUUUUAAUCCUCUACUAUUGAAUGAAUAGUGAACUCCAAGCAUUACACUGUACCUGAUGCUCCUGGUUGCACACUAAGGGCUGAAUAGAAGAAGAAUUCUAUUGGCAAUGGAGAGAAGCUGGAAGGGCUUGCACUAAGGAAGAAUUCACAGCUCUCACUAGCAAGAAGUCCAGGAUGAAAAACUUAGAAAUUAUCCCUGUUCUACCUAAAAAGCAGACAUGAGAAUGCUCAAAGCAUCAGCACUAUAGCAGAACUCACCAUAGGAGUUUCUGCUGCCGGAAACAUAUCUAUGUUAUCUGACCUAGACAGACUGAUCUUGUCGUGAGAGAGUGAGGAGAACUAGCAGAUGAAAUGACCAAAGUAUCCCACUCAUCCCCAGAGAACUGUGACUUCAGGAAAUGACUGGAAACCAAAGCACAUCUGUUGGAACCUACUGCCUCAGGAUUCCAGCUUAUCCAGAAGAGCAGCUGAAACAACUUGCUUCAUGGACUGAGCAACUACUAGACUCUUGGACUUCCCAUUCCCAGCUGCCCGUUGUUGGAUUAGUUGGACUACAGACUCCACUCACAAGUUCUGCAGUGCUAACUGCUUACCCCUGCCCACCUCUGCUUUCCAGUCUCCAUCCCUAUGGUCAUAACCUUUUCCCUAGUAAUUUGAGAGAGGAAGGCUGGCAUUUUUAAGAGUAAAG
rnacentral:lncRNA from 1 species